GACGAACGCUGGCGGCGUGCCUAAUACAUGCAAGUCGAACGCUUCUUUUUCCACCGGAGCUUGCUCCACCGGAAAAAGAAGAGUGGCGAACGGGUGAGUAACACGUGGGUAACCUGCCCAUCAGAAGGGGAUAACACUUGGAAACAGGUGCUAAUACCGUAUAACAAUCAAAACCGCAUGGUUUUGAUUUGAAAGGCGCUUUCGGGUGUCGCUGAUGGAUGGACCCGCGGUGCAUUAGCUAGUUGGUGAGGUAACGGCUCACCAAGGCCACGAUGCAUAGCCGGUCUGAGAGGAUGACCAGCCACACUGGAACUGAGACACGGUCCAG
rnacentral:rRNA from 1 species